AACGAACGCUGGCGGCAUGCCUAACACAUGCAAGUCGAACGAAGGCUUCGGCCUUAGUGGCGCACGGGUGCGUAACGCGUGGGAACCUGCCCCUCGGUUCGGAAUAACAGUUAGAAAUGACUGCUAAUACCGGAUGAUGACUUCGGUCCAAAGAUUCAUCGCCGAGGGAUGGGCCCGCGUAGGAUUAGCUAGUUGGUGGGGUAAAGCCUACCAAGGCGACGAUCCUUAGCUGGUCUGAGAGGAUGAUCAGCCACACUGGGACUGAGACACGGCCCAGACUCCUACGGGAGGCAGCAGUGGGGAAUAUUGGACAAUGGGCGAAAGCCUGAUCCAGCAAUGCCGCGUGAGUGAUGAAGGCCUUAGGGUUGUAAAGCUCUUUUACCAGGGAUGAUAAUGACAGUACCUGGAGAAUAAGCUCCGGCUAACUCCGUG
rnacentral:rRNA from 1 species